UGUCUCUCUCUUGUCUCACUUCGCUCGAAUAGCAGUGGGACUGGCGACUGACGCUUUGAAGGACAACUGACUGAAGAGAGAGGUGGCGGUGGAAGGAAGGCGAGAGGGAAAAAGACUGCGAACUAAAGAGAGAGGUGGCAGUGGAAGGAAAGAGACAGAGGAAGAAGAAGAGGAAUGAGAGUGAGAGAGAGAGAGAGGGUGCCUAGAAUUGCAGUGUCGAACGGCCACCUUCGACAGAAAACAGGGGCCAAUUCCAGUUAUCUCACUCGAACGGCCACCUUCGAUGUUCGGUUAUCAGAGGCCAUCUCUCAGUCAUACGACCAACUACAGCGUCUUCAACUCUUUAGGUCUUCAGUAGUUUGAUCAUCAGGCCUGGAUAUUUGGCCCAGGCUCAGGAGUGGCUGAACCUGUCAAAGCCCAAGUUGCCCAAUCCAAGCUACUACAGGAGGUCUCUGGAGGGUGAUAUCACUCACAGGGCUCUUCUCGUCGACGCCGUUGGGACCCUCCUCGUUCCCUCCCAACCCACGGUGCAAAUAUGUUGAUGAUGGAAGACCCUUCUUGCAAUUCAUAGUUGAUGAUGCGCAAUCCAGCCGGUCUUAACUGUCAACGACCUUGCCUCUCAACUGAGUAGCAGGGAACCUG